CGGGAACGGGCCGGGGGCUGCAGCCCGGCGGCCGGCUCGGGAGGCCUCGGAGGCCGCAGGCCGCGCUGCGAGGGCCCGGAGGAGCGGGCCGGGAGCUGCGGGACCCCCGGAGGAACCGGGACCGCCCGGAGGGGCCUUAGGAUGCGCGGCGCGGCUCGGCGCGGCCCGGCCCGGCCCGGCCCGGUCCGGGGGGGCUGUGCUUGGGGAGAGGUCGGCGGCCUCGGGCUUUCCCCCCGGUGCUGCCGCAGCGGGAGCUGUGCUGCAACGUGUCCCGCCGGCCCGGCCGGAGGAUGCGGGCUGCUUUUCGGGUGCGGAGGUCCCCGACCGACAGCGGGGAGGUGGGGGGGGAACACGGCGCCCCCUCCUCGGCCGGAGCCGGCAGGAAGCUCCGCGCCCCGUCCCGAGGCGGGCAGGAGCGGGGCGGGCGCAGACAAAGCGGCGGCGAGGCCCGGGCCGCCCCCGGCGGGGCCGCCCCGAGGUGACCGCGGCGGGGGCGGGGAUGCGCUGCCGGUGCCGCUCAGCCCCGGGCAGGAGCCCCGGCACCCUCCGGCCACCGGCGCGGCCUGCUCGGGGUGCCCAGCGCCAAGAGAAACCCAGCGAUCAUGGGGAGAAACCCCUCGGGAGAGCUCCCGAGCGUUGUCGCGACUCAACGGGCCACAUCAGCUCUGCUGUCGCGAUUCCCAAAACCGAGAGCAGCCCGCCCCCCCCUCAGCGCUGUCGUCGGUUCCGAGCGGCCUCUCACACCCGCCCGCAGCCGAAACGCGCCCACGUUGCCCCGUGUCCCGACAGCCCCGCUGCCGUGCCCCAUAUCGCGAUAGCCCCAUCAGCCCCUCUGCCAGGCCGCACCUCGCUCCGCGCCCGCGGGAGCCGGCGGUGCCGGGGGGGGGGCCAAAGGUGCCCUGGGACAGCGCCCUGAGCCGCCGGGGCUUCACGGGGCAGGAUUUUUUAAAUCGGGGUUUUCUUGAAAGUGAAUUUAAACCCGAACUCACUCCCACCGUCACGUGGUGCCGAAAUUGGGAACAGGAGCAGAAUAAAAAGUAAACUGGGGUCAACCUCUUAAUGAACCUUUUUCCCACUC
rnacentral:lncRNA from 1 species